rfam:Glycine soja cultivar W05 scaffold94_50, whole genome shotgun sequence.
UUCUUAUUGGAUGAUAACUGUCACGAUAUUUUGAUUGAUUAAUAAAAACAAUGCAUUUCAUCUUUCAUGGAGUUGACAUUCAAUCAGAACAUACGUGAUAGUCAACGUCA